GGGUCCAUAGGUUAAUUGGCAAACCGUCGGACUCCAAAUCCGAAACUUGAGGUUCAAGUCCUCAUGGGCCCG
rnacentral:tRNA from 1 species